UACAGAGGCCUCGAGCGUUAGGCGGAAUCACUGGGCUUAAAGGGCGCGUAGGCGGGCCGCCAGGUCCGGGGUGAAAGCCUCCAGCUCAACUGGAGAAGUGCCUUGGAUACCGGCGGCCUCGAGGGAGGCAGGGGCGUGCGGAACUUCGGGUGGAGCGGUGAAAUGCGUAGAUAUCCGAAGGAACACCGGUGGCGAAAGCGGCGCGCUGGACCUCUACUGACGCUGAGGCGCGAAAGCCAGGGGAGCAAACGGG
rnacentral:rRNA from 1 species